AGUGAACGCUGGCGGCAGGCCUAACACAUGCAAGUCGAGCGGCAGCGCGUCCGACCACCCUCGGGUGGUCGGAUGGCGGCGAGCGGCGGACGGGUGAGGAAUGCAUCGGAAUCUGCCUCGUUGUGGGGGAUAACGUAGGGAAACUUACGCUAAUACCGCAUACGACCUACGGGUGAAAGUGGGGGACCUUCGGGCCUCACGCGAUGAGAUGAGCCGAUGCCGGAUUAGCUAGUUGGCGGGGUAAAGGCCCACCAAGGCGACGAUCCGUAGCUGGUCUGAGAGGAUGAUCAGCCACACUGGAACUGAGACACGGUUCAGACUCCUACGGGAGGCAGCAGUGGGGAAUAUUGGACAAUGGGGGCAACCCUGAUCCAGCCAUGCCGCGUGUGUGAAGAAGGCCUCGGUUGUAA
rnacentral:rRNA from 1 species